rnacentral:rRNA from 1 species
ACGCUCGACACCUACGUGAGGCAGCAGUGGGGAAUAUUGGGCAAUGGGCGAAAGCCUGACCCAGCAACGCCGCGUGAGGGAAGAAGGUUUUCGGAUUGUAAACCUCUGUCCUCAGGGACGAAGGACGUGACGGUACCUGAGGAGGAAGCCCCGGCUAACUACGUACCAGCAGCCGCGGUAAUCUGAGCGGGCUGGCAAGGC